GAUGAACGCUGGCGGCGUGCCUAAUACAUGCAAGUCGAGCGAACGGACGAGAAGCUUGCUUCUCUGAUGUUAGCGGCGGACGGGUGAGUAACACGUGGAUAACCUACCUAUAAGACUGGGAUAACUUCGGGAAACCGGAGCUAAUACCGGAUAAUAUUUUGAACCGCAUGGUUCAAAAGUGAAAGACGGUCUUGCUGUCACUUAUAGAUGGAUCCGCGCUGCAUUAGCUAGUUGGUAAGGUAACGGCUUACCAAGGCAACGAUGCAUAGCCGACCUGAGAGGGGGUGCGGCCACACUGGAACUGGGACCCGGUCCCGACUCCUACGGGGGGCAGCGGUGGGGAAUUUGCCGCAAGGGGGGAAAGCCGGACGGGGCAACGCCGGGGGGGUGAUAAAGGUCUUCGGUUCGUAAACCUCUUUUUUUGGGGAAAAACAUAUGUGUAAGUAACUGUGCCCUUCUUGACGGUACCAAAUCAAAAAGCCCCGGCUAACUACGG
rnacentral:rRNA from 1 species